UUUUAACGUUAGUAAUAUAAACUAACCUAGUUAGUUAAUUGUAAAGUUGGAUCCUUUUAAAAACAUCAAGACAUAGAUAACCAAGUUAAGCUAAGUGUUUAAUUAACUCUUAAGUUGGGGGACUAUUGGUGUAAAUAAUGAAAGUAUAACAAAAAAAUCUAACCCUAACUCUUUUAUGAUGCAGCCACAACCCAAACCAGACCCCAGAUUCGUUCCCUCUCUUCCUCGUGAGAUUCCGGCGACCGGAGCCGUGAUCCAGCGUCUCAGAUUCCGGCGCUGCUCAUCUCCGGCCACACCCACACCUUUCGACCAUCCUCAUCCUCCCUUUUCCUCACUCACACCCGUAAGCCCCUCCUCUCCGACGACCGAAGAACGGAGCCCCGGCGGCUCGCUCCUUGCCGGCGACGAGCACAGCACCACCCCACGGUCAACCAUCUCCACUCUCCCUCUCCUGUCUCUUCGUCGGGUGGCAAACAUGGCAGCGCCGCCGGAAGCGGAAGAGUGGCGGCAGUGGUUAUCAAGGUCUGUCGGGUUUCGCGCUCCGAUCUGAGUAUGAUCGGUCAGAUUUGAUUCGGGUCCUUCCAUGGUUCAGCAAGUUCGAGUCCGGUUCAGUCGACCACCGGCCACCUUCUGUUCUCCGACAAGCACCACAACACCCUCCCGUCGCCGCUUCGCGUGACCUCGGUGUUCCGUCCUCCUAUCUCAUCAACUCGUCAUACUUGGAUAAUCGGAAGAAAUUGCAAUAAUGUGGAUGAGGACGAUGCUAAGAAAUGAAGUAGCGUUGAUGCCUAGAUACACAU